rnacentral:rRNA from 1 species
CAGUAGCCGCGGUAAUACGUAGGUGGCAAGCGUUGUCCGGAAUUAUUGGGCGUAAAGGGCUCGCAGGCGGUUUCUUAAGUCUGAUGUGAAAGCCCCCGGCUCAACCGGGGAGGGUCAUUGGAAACUGGGAAACUUGAGUGCAGAAGAGGAGAGUGGAAUUCCACGUGUAGCGGUGAAAUGCGUAGAGAUGUGGAGGAACACCAGUGGCGAAGGCGACUCUCUGGUCUGUAACUGACGCUGAGGAGCGAAAGCGUGGGGAGCGAACAGGAUUAGAUACCCGUGUAGUCCCUGUCUCUUACAC